GAUGAACGCUGGCGGCGUGCCUAAUACAUGCAAGUCGAACGCGCAGCGAAAGGUGCUUGCACCUUUCAAGCGAGUGGCGAACGGGUGAGUAACACGUGGAUAACCUCCCUCAAGGCUGGGGAUAACAUUUGGAAACAGAUGCUAAUACCGAAUAAAACUUAGUAUCGCAUGAUACAAAGUUAAAAGGCGCUACGGCGUCACCUAGAGAUGGAUCCGCGGUGCAUUAGUUAGUUGGUGGGGUAAAGGCUUACCAAGACGAUGAUGCAUAGCCGAGUUGAGAGACUGAUCGGCCACAUUGGGACUGAGACACGGCCCAAACUCCUACGGGAGGCUGCAGUAGGGAAUCUUCCACAAUGGGCGCAAGCCUGAUGGAGCAACGCCGCGUGUGUGAUGAGGGCUUUCGGGUCGUAAAGCACUGUUGUAUGGGAAGAAAUGCUAAAAUAGGGAAUGAUUUUAGUUUGACGGUACCAUACCAGAAAGGGACGGCUAAAUACGUGCCAGCAGCCGCAGUAA
rnacentral:rRNA from 1 species